rnacentral:tRNA from 1 species
UCUAAUGUGGCAGACUAGUGCGCUGGAUUUAAGCCCCAAAUAUAAAGAUCUUUCUUUUUUUAGAA